rnacentral:rRNA from 1 species
GGCUUAGAGUUUGAUCAUGGCUCAGGAUGAACGCUGGCGGCGUGCAUAACACAUUCAAGUCGAACGGACGAGAGGGCUUCGGCCCUUGAGUUAGUGGCGGACGGGUGAGUAACGCGUGAGCAAUCUGCCCCUGUGAGUGGGAUAACGUCUGGAAACGGACGCUAAUACCGCAUAACGCAUGAGAACCGCAUGGUUUUGGUGCCAAAGAUUGAUCGCACAGGGAUGAGCUCGCGUCCGAUUAGAUAGUUGGUGAGGUAACGGCCCACCAAGUCUGCGAUCGGUAGCCGGACUGAGAGGUUGAACGGCCACAUUGGAACUGAGAACGGUCCAGACUCCUACGGGAGGCAGCAGUGGGGAAUAUUGGGCAAUGGGCGAAAGCCUGACCCAGCGACGCCGCGUGAAGGAAGACGGUCUUCGGAUUGUAAACUUCUUUUAUAUGGGACGAAGCAUGACGGUACCAUAUGAAUAAGCCACGGCUAACUACGUGCCAGCAGCCGCGGUAAUACGUAGGUGGCGAGCGUUAUCCGGAUUUACUGGGUGUAAAGGGUGUGUAGGCGGGACUGCAAGUCAGAUGUGAAACGUACAGGCUUAACCUGUGACCUGCAUUUGAAACUGUGGUUCUUGAGGGUCGGAGAGGUAACUG